GAUGAACGCUGGCGGCGUGCCUAAUACAUGCAAGUCGAACGAGUUCUCGUUGAUGAUCGGUGCUUGCACCGAGAUUCAACAUGGAACGAGUGGCGGACGGGUGAGUAACACGUGGGUAACCUGCCCUUAAGUGGGGGAUAACAUUUGGAAACAGAUGCUAAUACCGCAUAGAUCCAAGAACCGCAUGGUUCUUGGCUGAAAGAUGGCGUAAGCUAUCGCUUUUGGAUGGACCCGCGGCGUAUUAGCUAGUUGGUGAGGUAAUGGCUCACCAAGGCGAUGAUACGUAGCCGAACUGAGAGGUUGAUCGGCCACAUUGGGACUGAGACACGGCCCAAACUCCUACGGGAGGCAGCAGUAGGGAAUCUUCCACAAUGGACGCAAGUCUGAUGGAGCAACGCCGCGUGAGUGAAGAAGGCUUUCGGGUCGUAAAACUCUGUUGUUGGAGAAGAAUGGUCGGCAGAGUAACUGUUGUCGGCGUGACGGUAUCCAACCAGAAAGCCACGGCUAACUACGUGCCAGCAGCCGCGGUAAUACGUAGGUGGCAAGCGUUAUCCGGAUUUAUUGGGCGUAAAGCGAGCGCAGGCGGUUUUUUAAGUCUGAUGUGAAAGCCCUCGGCUUAACCGAGGAAGCGCAUCGGAAACUGGGAAACUUGAGUGCAGAAGAGGACAGUGGAACUCCAUGUGUAGCGGUGAAAUGCGUAGAUAUAUGGAAGAACACCAGUGGCGAAGGCGGCUGUCUGGUCUGUAACUGACGCUGAGGCUCGAAAGCAUGGGUAGCGAACAGGAUUAGAUACCCUGGUAGUCCAUGCCGUAAACGAUGAAUGCUAGGUGUUGGAGGGUUUCCGCCCUUCAGUGCCGCAGCUAACGCAUUAAGCAUUCCGCCUGGGGAGUACGACCGCAAGGUUGAAACUCAAAGGAAUUGACGGGGGCCCGCACAAGCGGUGGAGCAUGUGGUUUAAUUCGAAGCAACGCGAAGAACCUUACCAGGUCUUGACAUCUUUUGAUCACCUGAGAGAUCAGGUUUCCCCUUCGGGGGCAAAAUGACAGGUGGUGCAUGGUUGUCGUCAGCUCGUGUCGUGAGAUGUUGGGUUAAGUCCCGCAACGAGCGCAACCCUUAUGACUAGUUGCCAGCAUUUAGUUGGGCACUCUAGUAAGACUGCCGGUGACAAACCGGAGGAAGGUGGGGAUGACGUCAAAUCAUCAUGCCCCUUAUGACCUGGGCUACACACGUGCUACAAUGGAUGGUACAACGAGUUGCGAGACCGCGAGGUCAAGCUAAUCUCUUAAAGCCAUUCUCAGUUCGGACUGUAGGCUGCAACUCGCCUACACGAAGUCGGAAUCGCUAGUAAUCGCGGAUCAGCACGCCGCGGUGAAUACGUUCCCGGGCCUUGUACACACCGCCCGUCACACCAUGAGAGUUUGUAACACCCGAAGCCGGUGGCGUAACCCUUUUAGGGAGCGAGCCGUCUAAGGUGGGACAAAUGAUUAGGGUGAAGU
rnacentral:rRNA from 2 species